GAUCCAUCUAGUGGAUGCCAUUUGGUCUCUUUUUUUCCCCAAUCACUGAUUGGUCUUCUGGCACUGGCUUCUGAUUGGCUUGAGAUCUCCUUCUUGGUGGGCCAGUUGUCUUUCAAAUCAAAUGUUGGCAGGCGCAACUGUGCCCCCAUUGGCUGGGGGGAUGGAGCAGGGAGUGGGGAGGCCAAGGAGGGAGUUUCAAAAUGUAUAUAAAGGGCUGCUUUUGUGCCUCAGUCAGGAGAGGAGAGAACUCUGACAGGGACACAGCAGCACUGAGGAGAGCAGAGAUACUGUGGUCUGGGCCUGGCCCAGCAGUGAGUGGAGAGACAGACUGCCUGCUCUGUCUCCCUUUUUAUUUUAUUUUUAACCUUUUAAUUGCAGUGCCUGUCAACUACUUUACCCACCUGCCUUGUUUCCAGCAAUACCAGUGCUUUUAACUGGGUGCUGCUUGGAAAUUCAUUUUAUUAUUCUCGCUUCUAGCCAGCCUCACCAGUGACUUCAAUAACUGGGGUUCUGUAGUCCCCCCUGCCCCCAAUUAUUUUAAAAUAGUAACAGCAGCCUAGUGGCUUAACUGGGUGCUGUUUGGCAUUUAUAUUUCCUUUUUUGGUUUUCUCUCAUUGCUUGUAGCCACUAGCCAGUUCCCUUUAAUAACUGGGAUGCUGUGAUCCCCCCUCACACUCCACCCCCACCAUUUUAUUUAAAUAAAUUGUACAAACAGCACCAGUGCCUUUAAUUGGGUGCUGCUUGGAAUUUUAUUCCUUGUUUAUUACCACCACCACCACCCGUGCACAUGUUUUGGGUUUUAAAAAUUAUUUUGAGGCCUUAUUGCCACCUUUGCUGCUGUGGUCUGUGUGCUGCCUGCCUGUGCCUGGUGGAUUAAUUUUUGGUUUUUUUGUUUUUUGUUUGGCUGGUGUGUGGUGCCCGGCACAGUCAGGGGUUCCUGACUGGUGCCCACUCACCCUCCCCGCCAGAUGUUGAGUACUGGUGCCUGCUUGGUCCAAUUGUGCCUUCGAGAGCGACAUCAGCCAGACUCCAGCCGAAGAUGCCAUUGGAAGCCCCAGCCAAAGAUGCCAGAUAGGCUGUGGUUCUUCAGAAUUACUUGGCUCCAGUGCAAGUUUCUCCUCUUCCUUCCUCACCAUGGAUAGAGUGCAGAGCACACUUCAGGCUUCAGGCUCAGAUGAUGAUGACUCCACAUACCCAGUGACAAUGUCAUCCCAUCCAGCUCUCCUGAUCCACCAGUGUCUGCAGCCCCGUGUGAUCUUGAGCAGUGCCAUUCACAUUACCCGCAAAGGACACAUUGUCGAGCAAACUAUCUGCAGGACUAAACAACACAGCAGUAGCAGAUCAUAAAUCUCUGGAUCAACUUUUUACCUGUGUUUUUGUAUUAUGUUCAUAGUUUUGUGUUCUGAAUUUUGUUGGUAUUUUGAUAGGGCCUGUCAUUUAUUUGGGGAGAAAUGAGGUAUUUUGUGUUUUUUGUUAAUCUAUUCCUUGACCCAGGCUAGGCUUGCCACCUGUUCUUUAUUUCAAAGAACAGUUCUUGAUUUAGCAUUAAUGUGUACCUGUUCUUUAUCAACUUAAUAAAGAACGCAGUUUGUUCUAUAUUCUUAGCACUCGGAGGGAGGCCAGUCACUGACUGGAGUGAACACACAAUGAAGGGACUGGCUUCAUGUUGUAGGCCUCUAGAAAGCAGUCUUCUUCAGCCCUGCAGGCUGGAUAGCAGAUUGCACUCUAGUACUACAACUCCCAUGAUGAAGCUUGUUUUUGGAGCCAAAAGUUCACCUUUGCCCCUGCAAGUGUUAGGAGGAGGCUGAGCCUUGUGGAGCAAAGAGCAGCCAGGCCUGUGAAGGUGUGGUCCCUUCUGCAAAAGUCUCUCCCUAGAGUUGAGCAGCCUAACUGUCUGUCAUCUUUUUCCACCCAACCUCCAGUAAAAAAGGCAGGAGAAUGCAAAAAUAUUGUGAAGAAUGGGAAAGGAGUUCUGCUAGGUGUCUAAAGUGCACGAUAAUGCUUUGAAAGCUUGUUUAAAUAUAUGCAGCACACACUCUUUAGUUUCACACAGUGGAGUGUGUGAGGUGAAACGGCAAGCAUGCAGCUGUGGAGAAGGUCACAUUCGCAACAUUUGAAUGAGGGGCCAAAAUCAACCAUACCCAAGUUUCUAAUUAAUCACAGUUCAUCAGAAUCCAAUAAGGUGUCUGCAUAAAGAUUUUCUUAAUCAUUAUGUAAGAAGGAGUCUAAUGAGAGUGUGGGUAAAAUAUAAAAAAUGGUUGGAAUCUAAAAUUCCAUUAUGGUUAUCCCCGAUUGAAGCUUUAGCACGUAAAGAGACAAAUAUGCAAUCUGAAUGGGGUACCUAUAGGGAUUUGUUAUGUUUCCAAGAAAAGGGCUGUACAUUAAAAAACCUAAUCAAAGUACAAAAUUUGGUUAGUAACUGGUUUCAGUACCAUCAGUUAAAUGAAAUCUAUAAGAAGGAUCUUAAAGUUGUAUUUGAGGAUCAAAUGUUGAGAUUUGAGAAGGAGCUGUGUGAAAAUGAUGAAAAAUUAGUUUCUAAGAUGUAUAAGCUGUGGCUUUUGGAGGAGACAAGAGAUGAAGUGGUUAAAACGACUAUGAUAAAAUGGGCUCAAGAUGUGGGUCAUAAUAUAGAUAUGGCAGCUUGGGGGAAAUUAUGGAAAAUGGAUUUAAAGUUCACUGCAUGUUAUACUUUAAAAGAAAAUUAUUAUAAGAUGAUGUACAGGUGGUAUUUUGACACCCCAAAAAAUAGCAUUAAUGUAUAAAAAUGUUCCAAAUAAAUGUUGGAAAUGUGGACAUUGUGAAGGAACUUUUUUUCAUAUGUGGUGGUCUUGCAGGAAGGCAAAGGCCUUUUGGGAUAUGAUAUAUAAUGAGUUGAAGAAAAUUUUUUAUAUGACAUUUCCUAAGGGGCCAGAAUCCUUCCUGCUGGGAAUAACGCAAGGAGAGUUUUCCAGAAGAAACUUAACAUUUUUUAUGUAUGCAAGCACGGCAGCCAGAAUAGUAUAUGCGCAGAAAUGGAAGGACAAUGAAAUGCCCUCAAAAGAAGAUUGGUAGAUAAAAAUUUUGGAAUAUGCUGAGAUGGCAAAACUUACAGUACUGAUAAGGGAUGAAAACUUGGACUCUUUUAAAGAAGACUGGAAACCAUUCUUACUUUACUUAAAGAACUAUUUUUCUAAUAUGGACCUUUCAGCAGGGUUUGAAAUUUAGUAAUAAUAGCAGGUUGGGUAGAGUAAAAUCGAGUUUGCAAUGUGUAGGAUAUAUGUUUUGAAUUACUAUAGCAAUGGUUGACUUGUAUAGUUAAUGAAUCACACAGAUUGAUGAGCGGGAAGUCUAUAUUUACUUAAUUAGAUGUAAUGGGAUGGUUAAGAUAUUGUAAAAACCAAUAAAAACUUUA